GCGACCCCAGCUCAAGCGAGAACACC
rnacentral:rRNA from 1 species